CACGCAUGGUAGGAGAGCGUUCUGUAAGCCUGCGAAGGUGUCUCGGAAGGGAUGCUGGAGGUAUCAGAAGUGCGAAUGCUGACAUGAGUAGCGAUAAAGGGGGUGAAAGGCCCCCUCGCCGUAAGCCCAAGGUUUCCUACGCAACGUUCAUCGGCGUAGGGUGAGUCGGCCCCUAAGGCGAGGCAGAAAUGCGUAGCUGAUGGGAAGCAGGUCAAUAUUCCUGCACCAUUGUUAGAUGCGAUGGGGGGACGGAUCGCGGAAGGUUGUCCGGGUGUUGGAAGUCCCGGUCGCUGCAUUGGAGAAGGCGCUUAGGCAAAUCCGGGCGCAGGAUUCAAGGGUGUGGCGCGAGCU
rnacentral:rRNA from 1 species